GGUUGCAUAGUGUAAUGGUUAUCACAUCGGAUUCUGAUCUUCUGAACAACUUCCGGUAAUCUGAGUUCGAUUCUCAGUGCGACCU